rnacentral:rRNA from 1 species
GGGGGAUAUUGCACAAUGGGGGAAACCCUGAUGCAGCGACGCCGCGUGGAGGAAGAAGGUUUUCGGAUUGUAAACUCCUGUCGUUAGGGACGAUAAUGACGGUACCUAACAAGAAAGCACCGGCUAACUACGUGCCAGCAGCCGCGGUAAAACGUAGGGUGCAAGCGUUGUCCGGAAUUACUGGGUGUAAAGGGAGCGCAGGCGGACCGGCAAGUUGGAAGUGAAAACUAUGGGCUCAACCCAUAAAUUGCUUUCAAAACUGCUGGCCUUGAGUAGUGCAGAGGUAGGUGGAAUUCCCGGUGUAGCGGUGGAAUGCGUAGAUAUCGGGAGGAACACCAGUGGCGAAGGCGACCUACUGGGCACCAACUGACGCUGAGGCUCGAAAGCAUGGGUAGCAAACAGGAUUAGAUACCCUGGUAGUCCAUGCCGUAAACGAUGAUUACUAGGUGUUGGAGGAUUGACCCCUUCAGUGCCGCAGUUAACACAAUAAGUAAUCCACCUGGGGAGUACGACUGCAAGGUUGAAACUCAAAGGAAUUGACGGGGGCCCGCACAAGCAGUGGAGUAUGUGGUUUAAUUCGAAGCAACGCGAAGAACCUUACCAGGUCUUGACAUCCGAUGCAUAGCUUAGAGAUAAGUGAAGUCCUUCGGGACAUCGAGACAGGUGGUGCAUGGUUGUCGUCAGCUCGUGUCGUGAGAUGUUGGGUUAAGUCCCGCAACGAGCGCAACCCUUAUUGCCAGUUACUACGAAAGAGGACUCUGGCGAGACUGCCGUUGACAAAACGGAGGAAGGUGGGGAUGACGUCAAAUCAUCAUGCCCUUUAUGACCUGGGCUACACACGUACUGCAAUGGCGUUUAACAAAGAGAAGCAAGACCGCGAGGUGGAGCAAAACUCAAAAACAACGUCUCAGUUCAGAUUGCAGGCUGCAACUCGCCUGCAUGAAGUCGGAAUUGCUAGUAAUCGCGGAUCAGCAUGCCGCGGUGAAUACGUUCCCG